GGCCUAGUUUGCCCAGGCGGAGCUCGACCGCCGGUCGAAGACAUGAUCGCCUUCAUCGACGAUCACCGGGCAGAGCAUGGGGUCGAGCCGAUUUGCAAGGGGAUGCCGAUCGCCCCG
rfam:Stappia sp. 22II-S9-Z10 contig12, whole genome shotgun sequence.